GACGAACGCUGGCGGCGUGCUUAACACAUGCAAGUCGAACGGAAAGGCCCUGCUUUUGUGGGGUGCUCGAGUGGCGAACGGGUGAGUAACACGUGAGUAACCUGCCCUUGACUUUGGGAUAACUUCAGGAAACUGGGGCUAAUACCGGAUAGGAGCUCCUGCUGCAUGGUGGGGUUGGAAAGUUUCGGCGGUUGGGGAUGGACUCGCGGCUUAUCAGCUUGUUGGUGGGGUAGUGGCUUACCAAGGCUUUGACGGGUAGCCGGCCUGAGAGGGUGACCGGCCACAUUGGGACUGAGAUACGGCCCAGACUCCUACGGGAGGCAGCAGUGGGGAAUAUUGCACAAUGGGCGGGAGCCUGAUGCAGCAACGCCGCGUGCGGGAUGACGGCCUUCGGGUUGUAAACCGCUUUCGCCUGUGACGAAGCGUGAGUGACGGUAAUGGGUAAAGAAGCACCGGCUAACUACGUG
rnacentral:rRNA from 1 species